CCCUCACCUGGCGCGGGCAGCGGCGAAGGCGCUGCGAGUAGGGGCUGGAGGACCUCUAGCGGAGUCAAGGAGGCGCGUGCCCCCAGAGCCGGUAACAGCUCGCGGGGGCGGCGCGGGGGCGUGGAAGGGGCGGUCCCAGAGGACAGAGCGGGGCGGGGCCUCCCGAAGGAGCGUGACGUGGCUACUCACCGGCUCUUGCCCUCGCCAGGCCGCCGCCUGCGGUGGUUGACUGACGAGUUCGUCCGGGUGCCGCCCGGCCUAAGGGCCGGCCCCGCCCCAGCGGCCCGCCGAAGGGGAGGGAGGGCGAACUGGACGAUUCCGCAGCUCGCGGGCUACGGCGGCCCGGACUGCGGGAGCGGGGGCGGGGCGCUCACGGGGCCUCUGUGACUCGCCGCGCAGUGGCGCUGCGCUCUGCCGGGUGCGGGCAAGGGGCGGGCCGGGCUACGCACGUGGCGCCUGACAGAGGCUGCCCACAUACCUUGGCCGGAGGUCCCUUCCUGCAUCUUCAAGGCCAGCAAUGAAGCUACCAGAGGAUGUGCUGCUUCUAAACUACAAAGAAAACCAAGAAAAAGGAAAUCAGAGAAAUCAGAAAACAGGACAUUCAACACAAGAGAAGAACUACUAGUACUAGAGGAAAGAAGGCUGGAGAGAAUUGGGAGAGGUUCAAUAUUCACUUGCUACUGAAAAACAGCGCUGGACUAUUCCAUAGAUGCUCAUGCCAUCUGAGAGAAGAAAGUGGAGUGAAAAAGCAAGUUUUACAAACCCUGAGAGAGAGCACACACAGGGGAACAGCAGAGAGAGAGGGAGAAGCAGCCUCCCUGCUGAGCAGAGAGCCCGAUGCGGGACUCGAUCCCAGGACCCUGAGAUCAUGACCUGAGCCGAAGGCAGACGCUUAACCAUCUGAGCCACCCAGGCGCCCCAAUAUGAUACAUUUAAAUAACCAACUUAUCCUGGAAAAUACAUUCUGGAGCGAACAAUAAACAUGUUCUCGAAA